rnacentral:rRNA from 1 species
AGUGAACGCUGGCGGCAGGCCUAACACAUGCAAGUCGAACGGCAGCACAGUAAGAGCUUGCUCUUACGGGUGGCGAGUGGCGGACGGGUGAGGAAUACAUCGGAAUCUACUUUUUCGUGGGGGAUAACGUAGGGAAACUUACGCUAAUACCGCAUACGACCUACGGGUGAAAGCAGGGGAUCUUCGGACCUUGCGCGAUUGAAUGAGCCGAUGUCGGAUUAGCUAGUUGGCGGGGUAAAGGCCCACCAAGGCGACGAUCCGUAGCUGGUCUGAGAGGAUGAUCAGCCACACUGGAACUGAGACACGGUCCAGACUCCUACGGGAGGCAGCAGUGGGGAAUAUUGGACAGUGGGCGCAAGCCUGAUCCAGCCAUACCGCGUGGGUGAAGAAGGCCUUCGGGUUGUAAAGCCCUUUUGUUGGGAAAGAAAAGCAGCAGGUUAAUACCCCGCUGUUCUGACGGUACCCAAAGAAUAAGCACCGGCUAACUUCGU